rnacentral:rRNA from 1 species
UACGUAGGCAGCAAGCGUUGUUCGGAAUUACUGGUCGUAAAGAGUGUGUAGGCGGUGCUCCAAGUCUGGUGUGAAAUCUCCCGGCUUAACUGGGAGGGUGCAUUAGAAACUGGAAUGCUAGAGGAUGGGAGAGGUAAGCGGAAUUCCUGGUGUAGCGGUGAAAUGCGUAGAUAUCAGGAGGAACACCUGUGGUGUAGACAGCUUACUGGACCAUUUCUGACGCUGAGACACGAAAGCGUGGGUAGCAAACAGG